UAUCAUACACUUAAAACCAUGAUGCAUAUGAAAUGUAUAUUACUAUAGUAUCAUUAAUACAUGUAUAUUUGAGAAUGGAAAACCGAAGUCGAAAUUGCAAAAGAUGGAACAAGUCCAGAUUUGGGAUAUCACUUUAAUACCGCAAGAAUGAUCAUGGCAAUUAUUAAUUUAUCACAAAUUUCUUUCACAAAAGAAAAUUCACUACAUAGGAAUUUCGAUUGAAACACAAUAUUGGAGAGUAAUCCCAAAUAAACUUAACAAUUAGCAUGCACUUUUUAUAGUAAAGACUCCAAAAGAAAUAGUAUGUUGUACAUCACACUAUAUGAAGCAAACCAUUUUCGAUCAAUCACUUAACACAAUUGCUAAAAUCCUUAAUUCAUGAUUCAAAAGAUGGUUUCAUCUUGUGAAGAUCCCAGAAGAAAAUAAUUAUAAGGUGUUGUGUAUAAAUUGAAAAUACAAACUAUCGUCAAUUUGACGAAACUGAAUAAUGAUACGGUCAAUCUCUGGAAAACAAAACAAGCCGAAGAAACUUAACAACAGAGGAAAAAUUGUUUUCUCAAACCGUAUAAAGUCCAUGACCAAUAAGUAAAGGGCUUUACUUCACAAAACUAGAAAGGAUAGCUAUAAUAUAAUAAUGAAAACCCAAGCAAAUUUACAGUUCCCCACAACCAAAAUGUAUAAUUCUCUUCUCGUAAAAAAAAAAAAAAA
rnacentral:lncRNA from 1 species